CACUCACCCUAAUUCGCUCUGGUUUACUUACAAGAAAAGACAUGAGUUCCUAAUCUGUAGGCCUAUGUCAAUUUCAAAAAUUUAAACCUAAAAGGAAAAUAGAAACAGGUGGAGUUAGUCAAAUCUCUUUUUGUAGAAAUAUCUUUUGAUUAAUAAAAACUUACUGCAAAUCUACCAUUCAAAGUACUGUACUAAGUCUAUAAAUUGUAGAUUCCAAAGAUUUGCUUAGAGAAACUUUCAGUGACAAUUGACCUGGAUGUACUUUGUCCAAGUACAAUCUGAAAUACUGCAACUUCUAUAAGAAAGAAGUUUAUUAUAUGGUUUUCUUCUUUAAUGUUUAAACCUCUCUUGGCUCAAUCCCCACUGACUCCUUCCCAGAAGUAAUUAUCUUCUAUUCAUGUGCCUGUUUAACAUCAUUUUUUAAAAUUUUUAAUGUUUUUAUUAAUUUUUUUACAGAGAGAGAGGGAGAGGGCAAGAGAGAGACAGAGAAACAUUGAUAUGAGAACAAAAUAUUGAUUGGCUGCCUCCUUGCAUGCCCCCUACCGGGGAUCAACCCAGGCAUGUGCCUUGAUCAGGAAUCUAACCAGCAACCUUACUUUCGGGCAUGGGAUGAAGCCCAACCAACUGAGCCACAUCAGCCAGGACUCAUCAUUAUUCUUCGUGUGUAUAUGGCCAUGAUUUACCCAUUUUAGACAUUUAUCUUCUAACUUCCUACCAUGGUAGAUGGGGACUAAGCUCUCCUGUGUCACCUUCUUGCACUCCACUCUCCUGCCUUCAUUCUUCUGAUGCAGUGCUGGCACAUGUUUGAUGAAAUCGGUAUCCACGUUUACAUGACUGUGACUAUGCAAACAUGGUUUGCAGCUGGGCAAACAGAUCAGGAAAUUAAGGCUCAGAGAGGCUCAACACCCAGAGUCACACAGCCAAGUGGUAAAGGACUGAUGAGGUCUGUUCCAAUGCCUGUGCCCCAGAAACCUGUCAAGAGAUGCCGGGGAGACCUGUCAAGACUGUGUGUGCAAAGGCAUAAUGAUGACUGAGAAGGCACCAACUGAUUGGACAAUGCUGAUGACCAGGCGACAAAUGGCUGUACAAAAAUAGUCCACAUCUCAGUCUGCAGAUCCCUCCUCUACAACUGUCUCAAAAUCAACAGCCACCAAAUCCUGGUAUUUCCUUUGAUUCUCAAAGCCACCAUAACCUAAGCUACCAGCACCUGCUGAAGAACUGCAGUAUUUUCCUAAAUGGUCUCCCUUGUCUCAACUUUCCAUUUUUGCUACAUAAGGAUUCAAUAACCAUCAAAAGCUAAGCAAGUCCUGCAGAAUAUAAGAACUCUGGCUUUUACUGCUUUUCAUAAAAUGAUCCUACCAUAUCUAAAUAAAUGUACCUUCACUGAACAUACUACCAUGUCAGAUAUUAAGCCAAGAGAGUAAAACAUGACUCCUGAAUAAUUGUAAAUUUGCACAAGAAUUCAGCUUCAAGGAUAUGUGUUACAGUAUUACUUAUAGUAGUGGAAAAUUUGAAAUUGUUUGGUUAAACCGUGGAUAUAUACAAAGGGCAAAUUUACUUUUUGUCCAUUAAAAAUUGUUACAAAUGAAGUUAGAAUCCAUAUUAUUUUAGAAGCGAAUACGUGUAAACAAAAUAGUUUGGAAGGAUGUAUAUACAUCUACAUAUAAAUAAUAAUUACUUUGUAUGGUAGGACUAUGGGCAUUUUGCCUUAUUUUUCUUUAUGUUUUCUAAUUUUCCUAUGAUGUGCUUUUGUAAUAAAAAGUUUUUUAAAAAAUUAAAAGCAUGGUUUCUGCAUGCAAGAACAGGCACUGCAGAUGGAAGAAUAGUUAUGCAUAAAGGCCUAAAAUAACAUAUUGUAGGAGUUUGAUAGGAUGCUGGGUUUAUAGACUCAAGAGGGGGAAAUGAGGCUGGAAAUACCACACUAAUAAGUUUGAAUAAUUAGAAUCAACUAAAGAAUUUAAGUAGGAGAAUGACAUUAUCUCUGACAGCUCAUACACAGGGUGAACUGGAAAAGGGUACCUGAAGCAGGAAAAAUUAAGUGGUUGAAAUAAUUAGAUAAGAAAAAAAAACAACGGCCCUAGCUGGUUUGGCUCAGUGGAUGGAGCAUCAGCCUGUGGACUGAAGGGUCCCAGGUUCGAUUCCGGUCAAUGGC